GACAGAGGAUGCAAACGUUGUUCGGAAUUACUGGGCGUAAAGCGUGUGUAGGCGGCUUUGCAAGUCGAGUGUGAAAGCCCCGGGCUUAACUUGGGAAUUGCGCUCGAAACUACUUUGCUGGAGUGUGGCAGAGGAAGGUGGAAUUCCACGUGUAGCGGUGAAAUGCGUAGAGAUGUGGAGGAACACCAAUGGCGAAGGCAGCCUUCUGGGCCAACACUGACGCUCAUGCACGAAAGCGUGGGGAGCAAACAGG
rnacentral:rRNA from 1 species